UACGGAAGGCAGCAGUGGGGAAUAUUGCACAAUGGGCGAAAGCCUGAUGCAGCUAUGCCGCGUGUAUGAAGAAGGCCUUAGGGUUGUAAAGUACUUUCAUCGGGGAGGAAAAAACAAAACUAAUAAUUUUAUUUCUUGACGUUACCCGAAAAAGAAGCACCGGCUAACUCCGUGCCAGCAGCCGCGGUAAUACGGAGGGUGCUAGCGUUAAUCAGAAUUACUGGGCGUAAAGAGCACGUAGGUGGUUUUUUUAAGUCAGAUGUGAAAUCCCUGGGCUUAACCUAGGAACUGCAUUUUGAAACUGAAAUACUAGAGUAUCGUAGAGGGAGGUAGAAUUCUAGGUGUAGCGGUGAAAUGCGUAGAUAUCUGGAGGAAUACCUGUGGCGAAAGCGGCCUCCUAAACGAAUACUGACACUGAGGUGCGAAAGCGUGGGGAGCAAACAGGGAUUAGAUACCCG
rnacentral:rRNA from 1 species